UACAGGGGGUGCAAACGUUGCUCGGAAUUAUUGGGCGUAAAGCGCGCGUAGGCGGCCACUUAAGUCGGAUGUGAAAGCCCCUGGCUCAACUGGGGAAGUGCACUCGAAACUGGCCGGCUUGAAUAUGGAAGAGGGUCGCGGAAUUCCCGGUGUAGAGGUGAAAUUCGUAGAUAUCGGGAGGAACACCAGUGGCGAAGGCGGCGACCUGGGCCAAUAUUGACGCUGAGGUGCGAAAGCGUGGGGAGCAAACAGG
rnacentral:rRNA from 1 species